rnacentral:rRNA from 1 species
GACGAACGCUGGCGGCGUGCUUAACACAUGCAAGUCGAGCGGUAAGGCCCUUUCGGGGGUACACGAGCGGCGAACGGGUGAGUAACACGUGGGUGACCUGCCCUCAGCUCUGGGAUAAGCCCGGGAAACUGGGUCUAAUACCGGAUAUGACUUCAUGACGCAUGUUGUGGAGUGGAAAGCCUUGUGCGGCUGAGGAUGGGGCCCGCGGCCUAUCAGCUUGUUGGUGGGGUGAGGCCUACCAAGGCGACGACGGGUAGCCGGCCUGAGAGGGCGACCGGCCACACUGGGACUGAGAUACGGCCCAGACUCCUACGGGAGGCAGCAGUGGGGAAUCUUGCGCAAUGGGCGAAAGCCUGACGCAGCGACGCCGCGUGAGGGAUGACGG